UGUUUCUGGUGGUGGUGGUUGUGGUGGUGUUUCUGGGGAUGCGGAAGGUGCUGAAGCCCAGAAAGCACAAUGAGAAUAAUAAUGACUAUUCACUUGCUGCAUUCAAGGAAAUUGACACACCAUUUAUCCCAAAAAGUGGUUACAAACGGAUGGAUGAAGAUCUUCCAUUCUGUAUCCCUUGUCAUGACAGAAUCACAGUCAAGCAUGUCUUCUUUGGCUAUUGAUUAUUCCAUCACAGGCUAUAGUAUUUCAUAUCAUCUUUUUGAAAAUGUGGGUCAUUUGGUGUUGUUAAACUUAAAAUAUUUUUACAUUCCAAAUCUUUGUUGUGUCUUCUUGUGUAUAGUGAUAUCUCUUUCUGGUAACUGGUAUAUAAAUCUGUGAUUCGUCUACUUAUUUUUAUUGCCUUUUGUAGACAGGUUUUUAACCGAAAAAAUGUAUUUUGUAUUGGUAGUCUUUAAUUUUCAGUGCCAUGCUAAUUUGAAUUCUUAAACUUAUUCACCUACUUGUGUCAUUUUUUAAUGGAUUUGGUUGCAAACUUACUUUUUAAAUUGCUUUUAACGUGCAUAGUCUUAAAUAAAAAUCUUCUGGAUCUCUAAAACAUCA